GCCCUCUCAACUUUGUGUCUCCAUCACUACGGCGCUACCCAGCAGCUUCCGCUUACUUUCCUUUCUCUCUUCACAGAGAGUUUCUAAAACCUACUCAUUAGCCUCAUCAUCAUCGGGCCACCAUCAGCAGCAUGUAGAAGCCCCCACCAUCGCCGAACUCUCUCCUCGGCCAGAGGGUACCGUCGGUGCCGCCAUUGUGACAGACAGCGGGUGUCGUCUUGCCGCCGAACGUAUCUUCCACUCACCUUCUUCUCCUCGUCAUGAAAUCUUUGCUCAUAGCUCUUCUCUCGGCCUCGCAGAUUGCUCCUGCUCGGCCCUCGUCGCCUCAUCGUAGCAAACUUUGUGCCUGGCUGUCUCUCUGUUCUAGCUCUCUCUCUAUGUCUUCGAGGUUACUCUGUCUCACCACGAGCUCACUGUCACCUCUAUUAUUUCGAUCUCACUCUGUCAACAUCGUGUCGUCAUUCAUCCCUCGCUGUCUCUCCGCACAUAGAUACACUUCUUCAAACUUCAAACAUAUGGCAUCCGCCUUUUCUUCCACUUCAAUCCCACUACCACCACCACCACCACCACCACGAUCAUGCACCUAUCACGUGUUCUUGAGUUUCAGAGGAAAAGACAUCCGUACAGGCUUCAUUGGCCAUCUCUAUGCGGCUCUCAACAGGAAGGGAAUCACAACCUACAAAGAUGACAAAAACCUUCGCAAAGGCCAUGUUAUUUCAAAAGAACUCCUCAAAGCAAUUGAAGAGUCCAUGUUUGCAGUCAUUGUUUUCUCACCGGACUACGCUUCCUCCAGUUGGUGCUUGGAUGAGCUCCAAAAGAUCAUUGAGUGUAAGAACCAGCUGGGGUUACAAAUGCUGGCAGUGUUCUACGGUGUGGAGCCUAGUGAUGUGAGGCACCAAAGAAGAACCUUUGAGGAAGCUUUCAAGAAACACGAAGAGAGACAUGACAGUGAGAAGGUCAAAAGAUGGAGAGAUGCGCUAACACAAGUUGCUGCUCAUUCUGCUUGGACCUCCAAAAUAUAUGAGGACGAAGCAGUACUUGUGGAAAAUAUUGCUCAACAUAUAUUUGAAAUAUUGAUUCCUAAGUUGCCAUCUUCAAUGAAGAAUCUUGUGGGGAUUAAUUCAAGAGUGGAACAAGUGAUUACUCAAAUAGGCCUUGGAUUGAAUGAUGUUCGCUAUAUAGGCAUAUGGGGAAUGGGCGGCAUAGGUAAGACCACUAUUGCUAGAGCUGUCUUUGAAACCAUUCGAUUUAGAUUUGAAGUUACUUGCUUUCUUGCCGAUGUAAGGGAGAACUGUGAGAAAAAAGAUAUUACUCACAUGCAAAAACAACUUCUUGAUCAAAUGAAUAUAAGUUCAAAUGCUGUUUAUAACAAGUAUGAUGGGAGGACAAUAAUUCAAAACUCUUUACGUCUCAAAAAGGUACUUCUUGUUCUUGAUGAUGUAAAUCAUGAAAAACAAUUAGAGGAUUUGGCUGGGGAGCAAGAUUGGUUUGGUCCUGGAAGCAGAAUAAUAAUUACAACUAGAGACGUAGAGGCGCUAAAGGGACCAGAGGUGCAUGAAACUUAUAACGUUGAAGGGUUAGUGGAAAGUGAAGCCCUUAACCUCUUUUGUUUGAAAGCCUUUAAACAGCAGAAGCCUACAGAAGGGUUUUUGGAUUUGUCCAAAGAAGUAGUCAAAUAUAGCGGUGGUCUCCCAUUGGCACUUAAAGUAUUGGGUUCCUAUCUUAAUGGUAGACGUACUAUUGCGGUUUGGUAUAGUGCUAUUGAAAGAAUAAAGAAGACUUCACAUUCUAAAAUUAUUGAUGUAUUGAAAAUAAGCUAUGAGGGUUUAGAAGAUACAGAAAAGGAUAUUUUUCUAGAUAUUGCUUGUUUCUUUAAAGGGAAUAAAAAAGAAUAUGUAACAAAGAUAUUAGAAGGAUGUGGUUAUCAGGCUGACAUUGGUCUUGAUAUUUUGAUUAACAGAUCAUUGAUCACUAUAAAUAAAUAUGAUCAAUUGGGGAUGCAUGAUCUGCUUGAAGAAAUGGGCAAACAAAUUGUAAUUAAAGAAUCUCCAAAUGAUGCUAGUAAGCAUAGCAGAUUGUGGUGUUUGGAGGAUGUUGAAUUUGUACUUACUCAAAAGAAGAAAACUAAAGCAACUCAUGGCAUCGUUGUAAGUAAGUGGUGGUAUAGCAAGACUGAAGUGAUUCAGAGAGAUUUAUCUUUCUCAAAAAUGUGCCAGUUAAAGCUUCUCAUUUUAGAUGGUGUAGAAGCUCCCAUUCUCUGCGAUAUUCCUUGUACAUUAAAGGUAUUUCGCUGGAGAUAUUGUCCACUGGAAACUCUGCCCCUUACAGAUCAUCAACGCUAUGAGCUUGUUGAAAUUAAUCUGUCUGGUAGCAAAAUUGUAAAGUUAUGGGAUGGAAAGAAGGUUCUAGAAAAGUUAGAGCACUUAGAUCUGUCAGGGUGCCAGCAGCUGAAGCAAACACCAGAUCUUUCUGGGGCUCCCAAUCUUAAAAAACUUAAUCUUUGGGGAUGCAAGAAGCUGGAUUAUAUUCACCCGUCUCUCACCCACCACAAGAGGCUUGUUGAAUUGAAUUUAAGGGGAUGUAGGAGUCUUGAAACACUUGGAGAUAAAUUGGAGAUGAGUUCACUCGAGAGACUAGAUCUAUACUCCUGCAGUAGUUUGAAGAGACUGCCAGAAUUUGGGGAAUGCAUGAAACAGUUAUCGAUUCUUAAUCUGACACUUACAGGUAUAGAAGAGCUACCCCCAACGCUUGGAAAUUUGGCUGGCGUGUCUGAAUUGGACUUAACUGGAUGCAGCAAGAUUACUGGUCUUCUCUUAUCACUUUCACUAGGAUGUUUCGUUGGCCUAAAAAAAUUGGUGUUAUGUAGUCUUCCACAGAAAACUGAUUAUGAUGAUUCUGACAGCUCAUCUAGAGAAGAGUCGACCCUUUCCUAUGAUAUUGCCCACUUAGCGUCGUUGAUGGAUUUGGUUUUAUCUCGUAACAGUUUUUUAAGAGUUCCAAUAAGUAUCCAUCAACUUCCCAGACUUACACGUCUAAAGCUAUCUUUUUGCUGGGAAUUGGAGGUUUUACCAGAGCUUCCAUCAAGUCUAAGAGAAUUAGAUGCACAGGGUUGUUAUUCACUGGAUGCAUCAAAUGUUGAUGAUGUCAUAUCAAAGGCGUGUUGUGGCUUUGCAGAAUCAGCUAGCCAAGAUCGUGAAGACUUCUUGCAAAUGUUGAUCACAGGGGAGGAAAUUCCAGCAUGGUUUGAGCAUCAGGAACAAGAUAACGGAGUAUCACUCUCAUUCCCACUUAAUUGCCCUUCAACUGAAAUGGUCGCACUUGCUCUCUGUUUCCUAGUUAUCCAAGAUAUCCAAGGAUUACAGCCUUCGGUGAUCUGCAACGGGAAAGAAUUCAUCAACACGAGUUUAGAGGUGUGGGAUAGUUCAGAUAAUUUGUUUAUUGUGUGUGUGAACAGUUACUAUUUUAGUAAGCUGUUAUGCCAACAAAAUCGCUUCCAAAUGUUAUUUCCAGAUCGUGACUAUCUUCUUAUCCAAGUAAAGAGAAGUGGAGCACGUUGGUUGUUCAAGCAAGACAUUCAAGAUUUCAAGAAAAGAAAAUAUGAAACAGGGAAAAGAAAAGCAACUCUUGAAGACUUGAACUGAACAUAGACAUGAUUUCACAUUCUUCAGCUUCUAGAAAUAAGAUGCUCUUGGUUGACACUCCAGUGUAUGAACAAGAGUUAGAGCCAGCCGCCACAGCGGAGGGCUCUAUUCCCCAUUUGGCAUCUCGCAAAAGCUCUCACCCACCUCAUAGCUCAUGACACACCUCUCAAUAUGUUACAUGUAUCAUUGCCAAGCUUAGAUAUCCUCAGCUAAAUGGUUCCCCAGAUCUGAAGCUUUUGACACAGCUCAUUGCAUCCAUCCAGAAAGAAAUUGUCUUGGGGAUUUGAUAAAUCAGUGGUGUUUAAUUUAUCUGUUAGACAUGAUAAUCGAUGCAUCAUCCCUUGGAGAACAUAUAGAAUGUGCAAAGGUUAUCACCUUUACAUUCUCUGCUUGACCAAUGAUUACUUCAAUGAUGAAUCUUGCCGAGAUCUCAGGUUUUAAACUUUAAACUUUUGAUUCAGCCCCAGGAACAGGUCAGCCAAGGUGAACCUGAAGAUUUUUCUGAUUAACCUUUUUUUCAUGCCAAAAUAUUAAGCACUGGCUGGGUGCCUAUUGAGGAUAUCGUAGAUUUGAGCAAAAGUAAGAUGGAAAGGCAAAGGCGUGAAGGGGAAAGUGUUUGACAAAUAUAUUUGCAGAUGUGAUUGAAGUGAACAACUUUAGUAGAGAAGAAAGUUAUGUCCAUUUGCCGGGAGCUCAAUUUAAUUUUGUUAGAAAAAUGUAUCUUGAGAGGUAAUAACAUUUUCACAUUUUUUUAAAUAGUUUUUGAAGGAGCUGGAGUACAUCACUAUUAGUUUCCCCUGGAACUCAAGUGAUCUCAAUUUUUGGCUCUGGAAACUUGAAACAUCAAUUUUUAAAGAUUAUGGAAACCUUAGCAAGGCGAAAAUUCAGUCUAUGUCAAUAUCCAUCUGGUGUUGUGUAAAUUUGAGUUUGAUGUAACCAUGUAUGGGACUAUUUGGAUUCAUAAAUAGUGAAAUUGUUUGUAUGCUAAUAUUCUAAAAAAAUGAUAUGGAAGUA